CACAAGACCUCCGUCGACUGUCCUUCAGCAGCCAGGACAUGACCUUCCCCUCGCCCUGCUUCGACUUCGGGGAGAAGUGAUGAAGGGCUGAAUGGAGACUCCACUGUUGUGUUGGAGGAAACGACUCCAGAAGACUUGGAGGAUUUCAACUGAACUACCGGGAAGAAUCGUCUGAACACACGAGAACGUUCAUUUGACGCACUGAGUAGUUUAUUAACAUUAUGAUUUAUGAACAAUUACAAAUCAUAAGGCAUCUUUAAUGACUGAACAUGUUGACUUGUUCCCAAAAGAACACAAAGAAACGAUCAUCCGUUGAAAGUAAUUUACAACAUUGUUACCCUUUCCCAUAGAACUCUUAUCAUCAUUCAUGAUUAUGUUGUUAAAUCUGCUUUAAAUCACUUUCCAUGUCAGGCAUGGCAAAAUAUAAACUGAUUUUGGAUUCCUUCAAAACGAUGUUGAAAAUAUAUAAAAUAUUGUAGUAAAAUAACACUCAAUAAACAUUUAAAACACAUUUUACCUUAGAAAGUAAAUCUUUGUACAACCUGCUUAACCCAAAGGAAGAUCUUCCUUUCAUGGUUUAUGCUGAACCUUCCAGAAGCCCAAUAAAAUGCAGCAUUUGGAGUUCAGAGGAGCAUUUAAAUCAAUCACAAAGUGUUGUACUUCCACUGAACGGGUUGACCCCUCAGAGCACCAACAGCUGCUGCUCAACAACCCGAUGCACUACAGGUACGUCCAUGGGUCCACAGGUAUUCAAACGUCCCCCUAACAGCUGGUCCUCAACAACGUCAGGACUGUGAGGACCCCCCAGACCCAAGCGGCCCCCUCUAAUCUGACGCUCAGCAGCCCAGCUGAACACAGAGAGGGCUGAGAGAUGAACCACGAGAGACACUGAUGUUACCUGCUGCUUACCACCGGCACACUGACCUGCUGUGGGUUUAGAUCCAUGAACGGUGUGUGUGUGUGAGUGCAUGUCUGUGUAAAUAAGUCUGUGUACGUGUGUGUGUGUGUGUGUGUGUGUGUGUGUGUGUGUGUGUGUGUG